GAUAGCUCAGUCGGUAGAGCAGCGGACUGUUAAUCCGUUGGUCGCUGGUUCAAGUCCAGCUC
rnacentral:tRNA from 1 species